CGGCCGCGGUACCCUAACCGUGCGAAGGUAGCACAAUCACUUGUUCUUUAAAUAAGGACUAGUAUGAACGGCACCACGAAGACUAUACUGUCUCCUUUCUGUAAUCAGUGAAACUGAUCUUCCCGUGAAGAAGCGGGAAUUAUUUUAUAAGACGAGAAGACCCCAUGAAGCUUCAAAUAAAUAGCAACUGCUACCCCGACAUCACCUCAACUUAGCAAAUAUGACUAUUAAUUUUAGGUUGGGGCGACCACGGAGUAAAACAAAACCUCCACAAUGAAAAGACCUCAUACACCUAAUCCAAGAACAACAGUUCUAAUAAUCAAAAUAUUGACAUAAAUUGACCCAAAUUCUUUGAUCAAUGAACCAAGUUACUCUGGGGAUAACAGCGCAAUCCAUUUCAAGAGCCCCUAUCGACAAAUGGGUUUACGACCUCGAUGUUGGAUCAGGGUAUCCUAGUGGUGCAGCCGCUACUAAAGGUUCGUUUGUUCAACGAUUAAAACCCUACGUGAUC
rnacentral:rRNA from 1 species